GCUCUGUGGUUUAAGUUUACACUAACACAGAGAAGAUGGGGGAUUUCACUUGGAAAUCGGGACUGCAGCCUUACCUGGAGAACUGAAGGCGUGAGUGUGUGGGGCCGUGUGUCUUUGACCACUAAGAGCUCCUUGCACUUGGUGCGGUUGGCGUCUCUUCGUUUACCUGCUGGGCCACCCAGCUUUUGAGCCUGUGAUCUGUGCAUGAUAAGGACACACACAGAGGUGACAAUAACGGGCAAGUCUGGGGACCGUGGCAGGGUGGAGAGCAUUUGGACCAGAAAUACCUUGAUGAGGUUGCAGAAAGAAGGAAGGAAGGAAGGAAAACAACCAUACGAUUGAAGCUUGAGAGCUGACAUCUCGACUGAGCCUUCUGCCCAGCGUGUGAGGAGGCAGGAUUGCUGGUGCAGCGUAGGCAGAUUCUUCUCUCUGCUUGGUUUCUUCCAUCAAACUCUGCUCCUCUCUUCAAUGGGCUGCGGAUAUUCUAUUUGGAAAACCUCCACGCCGCCUCUCUCCCUGUGUGACUCAAGAUACCUCUUCAGGGCAGCCUGAACACCCUGCCACCAGCACACUUGCUCCUUCAGAUCAGAGAACGCUUCUGUCUGGAUUGCUCCAGUUUCUCUUAUGAGCUCCGGUUAUCUUUCCAAGAGGACACACACUCUUGGGUGGUACUGGCCUUCCCUUCCACUUCCUCACAGGCUUUGCAGAGUCUGGCAUGAGCCCUUUCACAAGGCUGGCGCACCUGAGAGCCC
rnacentral:lncRNA from 1 species